GAGUUCCAAUAUUAUUUCUUUGUAGUUAUCAAGUAGGUUUUUUUUUGUAGAGUCAACGGUAUAUAGAUAUGCAUGAUAGCAUUAUUUGUUCAAAAUUACCCUUCAUCUUCGGACUAAAUUCUGAUGUGCAUAUUUUGUUUGCAGGAAAUAAAUAAUGUUGACUUCUUUGGACGAAAGUGAACAUGAUAGCUUGUGUUCUUUUCUACAUGAAAUAGUAAAAAAGGUGGAGGUGCGGGAAGAAAACAACAAGAAGAAGGAUUGUGGGAGGAAGUGGAGUGUCAUGUGGUGGCUGAGAAGAGGGAGGGGGCAUGAAGAUGACGAGGAGAUACAUUUAUCUACCACAUCAUGAGCAUGAGAUAUCAUCACAUGUAAAUAGUAUAUGGCUCAUGUCACACAGCCUUUCUUUUUGUAAAAACAUUUUGUUAGCACAUUUCUUGUUGUACAUAUAGUUUUUUUAGCAUGUGGCAACACAUGGGCAUCCAGCACUAUGUGAAUAAAUUCACUUUUGGUCCA